rnacentral:lncRNA from 1 species
UUAUUCAUGGUCAAAACCCGUUGACCGAAACUGCUCAAGAACACGAACCCAGAAUUUUAUGAACAAUUUCCGUGGUGAACUUUGACCGGAUAUUUCCAGUUAGAUAUGUUGUUGUUAUAUGUAUAUUAUGUAUUAUAGUUGUAGUCCUACAUGAGUUCUACACACUGGAAUUGAUAGAUCACACAAACAUUACAUGGAUUGCAAGUUAUAGAGGUCCAAAGUAGGCACCUCGAACUGUUCUUUGUGAAGAACAGCUCUGACAGCUAUUUUGAUGGCCAAUAUCUCCCAGAUCUGAUGUUUUUAAGACAUGAUUGUUGUUGGUAAUUAUAGUCUUACAUGAGCACUACAAGAAUCAAUUUAUAGAUUGUGCAAAUUCGUUCGGAUGAGAGAGUUAUACUCGGUCAAAGUAGCCCUCUCGAUCACUGCCUUAUGAAAUCUGGGUUGGUGAAGAACACCAUUAGCGAUUGUUUCUGUCGCCUAAACCCUAUAGCGACGGUUUUGUAUUAUUUUUAAUUUCUGUAUUUUCCG